AAGAAAAGAAAUUUAAGCUUCUAACUUAAAAUAUGAUUUUAAUCACUUUUCUUA
rnacentral:tRNA from 1 species